rnacentral:rRNA from 1 species
UACGAAGGGGGCUAGCGUUGCUCGGAAUCACUGGGCGUAAAGGGCGCGUAGGCGGCGCAACAAGUCACUUGUGAAAUCUCCGGGCUUAACCCGGAGCGGCCAAGUGAUACUGUCGUGCUAGAGUGCGGAGAGGCGAGUGGAAUUCCCGGUGUAGCGGUGAAAUGCGCAGAUAUCGGGAGGAACACCAAUUGCGAAGGCAGCUCGCUGGGACGUUACUGACGCUGAGACGCGAAAGCGUGGGGAGCAAACAGG